UAGAAAGGGUUGCCACCUGUUUCGGCACUUUUUUUCGGCACUUCGAUUUCGUCGUUUUCGGCACUGAUUUUCAUUCUGCAACACACACCACCAAAAAUGGUCAAGUUCUGAACUAUGGUUCAUGGGG